GAAAUUUCAAUUUUAGUCUCCACACUCCUUGACACGUCGGUACCUCUUCGUUACCCCCAACGAACGAAGGAAAGGCUGAGGAGCAGUUAGGCGAUGAGGCUGAUAGUACCUCUCCAGGGAGUGGUUCAAGGCCGCGGAGGUCUCUUCGUCGGCUCUCUUAUCCCUUGCUGCCUCUUCUACUUUCUCCAGCUUUACCUCAAACGACGCCGUUCUCCUCCUCCUCCUCCUCCACCUCCCGAUUCCGACUCCUCCUCGGAGUUACCGAGGACCUCGUCUCGGUCCAGCCUCUUCACCCGAGGGAACUCCAUCGGACGUGUUCGAGUCUCCUCCAGAGCCGCUCCUCUCGCCAAGCCUCCCGAUUCGCCUUACUAUAUAGGGCUUGAGAGAGUCAAGACCGAUCCCUACGAUCGGGUUACUAAUAGGGAUGGGAUUAUACAGCUUGGUUUAGCUGAGAGUACGCUGUGCUUUGACUUGCUCCAGAGAUGGAUGUCUGAGAAUCUGAUGGAUUCGUUGAUGAUGCAAUCUGAUGGUAGUGGAUUCGAUGUCAGUACCAUCGCCAUGUAUCAACCUUUCGAAGGCUUACUCGAGGUCAGAGUGGCUUUUGCUGAUUUCAUGUCACGAAUAAUGGGAGGUAACGUCUCGUUUGACCCUUCAAACAUGGUGAUCACAGCUGGUGGGACUCCUGCUGUCGAAGUAUUGGCCUUUUGCUUGGCUGAUCAUGGAAACGCUUUUCUCAUUCCCUCCCCCUAUUAUCCUGGCUUUGACAGAGAUAUUAAGUUCAGGACAGGAAUCGAGCUUAUACCAGUACACUGCCGCAGCUCUGACAAUUUCACUGUCACCGUUUCCGCCUUGGAACAAGCUUUGAAUCAAGCUAGGAAGCGAGGGAGUAAGGUUUCCGGCAUCCUCUUUUCGAACCCUUCGAACCCUGUUGGAAACAUACUCUCAAGAGAGACGCUACAUGCUAUUCUGAGCUUUGCUCAGGAGAAGAACAUCCAUGUCAUCUCCGAUGAAAUAUUCGCCGGUUCUGUUUACGGGGUGGACAAAGAGUUUGUUAGCAUGGCAGAGGUAGUAGCUGCCUCUGCCUCGGGGGAUUUCGAUAAGAGUAGGGUUCAUAUCAUCUACGGCUUGUCCAAAGACCUUUCCCUUCCCGGUUUUAGAACCGGAGUUAUCUAUUCCUUUCAUGAAGACGUUGUAAGCGCGGCCAAGAAGCUGAUGAGGUUUUCGUCUAUGCCAGUUCCAGUCCAGAGGAUACUUAUCUCUCUGCUAUCGGAUACAAGGUUUAUCGAGGAGUACAUGGCAGCCCACAGGCAGAGGAUCAGGGAUAAGCAUUUUCUCUUUGUGGAAGGUUUGAAGCAAUUAGGGAUUCCGUGUGCUGAGAGUGGUGGUGGGUUGUACUGUUGGGUUGACAUGAGCAGUUUACUCACAUCUUACAGCGAGAAAGGCGAACUCGAGCUGUUUGAGAAGCUAUUGAGUGUUGCCAAGAUUAAUGCCACUCCUGGAACAGCUUGUUAUUGUAUAGAACCGGGUUGGUUCAGGUGCUGUUUUACGGCUUUGGCUGAUGAAGACAUCCCAGUGAUCAUGGAACGGAUCAAACUGCUUGCUGAACCAUCCACAUCUUGAGGCCAAGCCAUAUUUUGGCUCAAAGAGGCAGGAACUCUCAGCUCCAUAUUUUGUAAAUUCCUGCUAGUUUACCCAGGAAAGCCAAAGUUGAUGUCAUUAGAAGCUGUAGUAACCUGAACAUGGUGAGAAUUCUCCUGUGGAAGACGUGGAAAUAGCUUUUCCAAGAACGAAGAUCCCGUCAUGUAACUGCUCGUACUAUCAUCAGUAUCAUAGGCUGGCGAUGUUGGUAUCGAGCUCGUCUCCCUAUUCAGGUUGUCAUCAAAUUCAUCCACUGUAAAAGCACCUGAUAUCGGCACAAAGCUGAAGGAAUCACUGCUUGCGUCAUCAUAAAUAUCACUGCUGGUUUCAGCUUCACAACCGUACAUGGGAGGUGGUGUCAGCGGUCGGUCAAAAGGGUCAGUUGGGUCGAAAUCAACAAAGCAAGGGUACGGUUGUCCAGGAGUUUCUUCCCAAUGGAAUGGAACCGAUGUAACCAGCUUAACCGGAACUGGAACCGGAGGUGGUAAUAGAGGAGUCGUGGCGGUUUUAGACGGUGGUUGUGGAAGCUUAGGUGGGUCAUUUGCGGUAGAUGGGGCCGGUUUUCCAGGAGUUUCUUCCCAACAAAAAGGAACAGACGUAACCAGCUUAACCGGAACUGGAACCGGAGGUGGCAGUGGAGUAGUCGUGGCGGUUUCCGGUGGUGGUGGUUGCGGAAGCUUGAGUAGCAGUUUGCCUGGGGUCUUUUCCCAACAGAAAGGAACGGAGGUGACCAGUUUAACUGGGACAGGGAUAGGUGGCGGAAGUGUAGGAGGAGAAGGCACGAAAGCGGCUAGUGAAGGUUGCCAGUUCUUCUUUGGUAAGCCAGGCAGUUCCUCCCAAACGAAAGGCACAGAAGGAUGCUGCCUCGGUUGUUUUCUAGGUGGUGGCUUUGUUUCUUUGGGUUCCAUUUGGCACAUUUGCUCUUCUCUUUUUGCUCGUGGUCUGGUUUAUUUAUAAAGUAUUGUUUGUGCAUGUGUUGAUCAAGUCGUUGAGAUGUUGUGUUCGGUAAAGUCAAACGACUUUUGGUUUGAACUUUAAAGCAUGCUCUAUUGGGUUAGAGCAAACUAUUUAAUUGUGUCAUGAAUAUCACCUAAACCAUUUGGUGUCGACUGUCGUGUCACCAAAUUUUUAUAGAUUCAUUUCAUGCUGCCUUUUGUCAUAGUUUUCUUUUCCACUUAAUCUUACAAUAAAUUCAUUUAUUUUAUCA